rnacentral:misc_RNA from 1 species
GGACUGGGAGCUUGCCGAGGGUGUCCGGCGCUGGCGCGCCGCGGCCGCCGAGAUCAUGAGCGGUGGGGCCGCCGCGUGAGAGUGGGGCUCGUCUCGUCCGGAUCGGGCUCGCGCGGCGGGGGCGAGAUCUACCUGGCGUUCUUGGCCGACGGGCUGGCGGCGCUCGGGUGCGAGGUGACGGCGCUCGUGCCCGAUGCGCCACGCAUGGACGAGUUAGCGAGCCGCCUUGGCCGUUCGGCAAAGGUCUCGCGCAUCCCGUUCCGGACGACCUACGACCGGCGGAUAAGGACGCUUGGCGCGUACCUCGACCGGGCGCAGAUCCAGGCGCUUGCGGCUCGGUUCGCUACGCUCGACGUGGAUGUUCUGC